rnacentral:rRNA from 1 species
CAGAGGGGGCCAGCGUUAUUCGGAAUUAUUGGGCGUAAAGGGCGCGUAGGCGGCCAUGCGUGUCUUCCGUGAAAUCCCUCGGCUUAACUGAGGACGUGCGGAAGAAACUGCAAGGCUCGAGUCCGGGAGAGGGGGGUGGAAUUCCCAGUGUAGCGGUGAAAUGCGUAGAUAUUGGGAGGAACACCGGUGGCGAAGGCGGCCCCCUGGACCGGUACUGACGCUGAGGCGCGAAAGCGUGGGUAGCAAACGGGAUUAGAUACCCCGGUAGUCCACGCCGUAAACGAUGGGCACUUGGUGUCGCGGGUAUCGACCCCUGCGGUGCCGAAGCUAACGCAUUAAGUGCCCCGCCUGGGGAGUACGGUCGCAAGGCUG